UACGUAGGGGGCAAGCGUUAUCCGGAUUUACUGGGUGUAAAGGGGGCGCAGACGGCGAUGCAAGCCAGGAGUGAAAGCCCGGGGCCCAACCCCGGGACUGCUCUUGGAACUGCGUGGCUGGAGUGCAGGAGGGGCAGGCGGAAUUCCUGGUGUAGCGGUGAAAUGCGUAGAUAUAAGGAGGAACACCGGUGGCGAAGGCGGCCUGCUGGACUGCAACUGACGUUGAGGCCCGAAAGCGUGGGGAGCAAACAGG
rnacentral:rRNA from 1 species